ensembl:miRNA Mir7211 microRNA 7211
UCUUUCCCUCUGCCACUCCACCGCUGGGAGCUUGUGUCUGUGGAGUGACUGUAGGGAGGAUGC